CUUAAUACUUAUUAUUUGUUAUAAAACAGCGAGUUCCGGUCUUCGAUUCUGAUUGGACGAGAGGACGCUUUUAUGGGCGUUUCCCAAACUGCAUAUUUGUGCCUUUGAAGAGGACUGCAUGCGGGAAGGCGACGCCAGUCGAAGUAUCGUUCUAAACGAAAAUCUGAUUGAAGUGAAAGAGGAGAGUCAAGAACUGAAUGAAGUGGAGGAGAAACAUCAUAACUUCAAAACAGAAGAAAAUGAUUUUAGCUGCUCACAGACUGAAAUGAAUUUCUCGCAAGAGAGAACUCAAAAAACAGAAGCUGAAAACUCUUUCACCUGCCCUCAGUGUGGAAAGACUUUCAAACGUAAAUACAACCUUAAGAAGCAUUUAAGCAUUCACACUGGAGAGAAACCUUUCACAUGUCAGCAGUGUGGAAAGAGUUUCGUUGAUAAAACGUAUCUCAAAUAUCAUAUUCGCCUUCACUCUAGUGAAAAGCCAUUUAAUUGCGAUCAGUGCGGUAAACAUUUUGCGACAACGUCACUUCUAAAAACACACCUGAAAAUUCAUACAAAUGAGAGGCCUCAUGUGUGUUCUGUUUGUGGAAAUAGUUUUUUACGACUGGAACAUUUGAAAGAUCAUCAAAAAAGACACGCUGGUAUUAGAGAUCAUAUAUGCUCUGAGUGUGAGAGGAGCUUCACUACAGCCAGCCAAUUGAAAAUGCACCUCAGAAUUCACACUGGAGUGAAACCUUACAAGUGCUAUGAGUGUGAAAAGAAGUUUGCAUGUACAAGUAAUCUUAAGAAGCACUUGAGAAUUCACACUGGAGAGAAACCUUUCACAUGUCAGCAGUGUGGAAAGAGUUACAGAUUUCAAUCACAACUUAAUAGACACAUGAGAAUUCACACUGGAGAGAAGCCGUACACUUGCCCUCAGUGUGGAAAGAGUUUCUCUGAUAAAACAUCUCUCAAAUCCCAUAUUCGCUAUCACUCUGGUGAAAGACCAUUUAACUGCGAUCAGUGCGGUAAACAUUUUACGACAAUGUCACUUCUAAAAAGACACCUAAAAAUUCAUACAGAUGAGAAGUCUUAAGGCGGACUUAUACUUCUGCAUCAAACAUUUAUAGUUCUGCGUUGGUGUGUCUGUGUCAUCAUGCGAGUACACAGCAAAGUGCUAGUACACUCACUGAGCACUUAAUUAGGACCACUGUGGUCUUAAUAAAGUGCCCGAUGUGGUCUUCUGCUGUUGUAGCCCAUUCGCCUCAAGGUUCGACAUUUGUGCAUUCUGAGAUGCUAUUCUGUUCACUACAAUUGUACAGAGGGGUUAUCUGGGUUACUGUAGCCUUUCUGUCAGCUCGAACUAGUCUGGCCAUUCUCCAUUGACCUCUUUCAUCAACAAGGCAUUUCUGUCCACAGAACUGCCCCUCACUGGAUGUUUUUUGUUUUUGGCACCAUUCUGAGUAAAUUCUAGAGACUGUUGUGAGUGAAAAUCCCAGGAGAUCAGUAGUUACAGAAAUACACAAACCAGCCCAUCUGGCACCAACAAUCAUGCCACAGUUGAAGUCAGUGAGAUCAAAUUUUUCCCCAUUCUGAUGGUUGAUGUGAAAAUUAAAAAUGGAGUGUGUAAUUUAAAUCCAAUACACUUUUUGUCAAAUUCUGCGAAUAUAUCUUCAUGGUCUGCAUGCUGUCCGUUCUGUGUGUGCGCUGAAAAAAAAGUCUGGUGUUUGUAGACAGCCCUGGCUCUGUAAAUGGGAAGAUAAACAAAGUGGAUCGGACCGAUCCACACAACACUAUUCCACCCAACCAGCAACAGGGGGUGGUUUGUGCUUGUGCACAGGAUAUGCCACCUGAAUUUUCAUAGCAAUAAAAAUUGCUUCCCCUUAUUGAGGCUAACUUACCCUCGUGCAACAGAUGCACUGGAUUCCGCCAUAUUUGUCUUUUGGUCAGCUAGCUCACUUGUUAGUGUCAUUGCCUUGACAAUGGGCGUGUAUGAAUUUGGGGGGCGGAGCUUCUGAAGGAGCACUAACGGGAGGGGUGUGUUUGUUUGGCUGUGCAGAGAGUGCGAAAGGGCGUGAUGAAUCUAAGGGGUGUUGGCAAAGGUUGUUUGAAAACAUACUUUAGUUUUAUAAUUCCGUUUGGUGCCACUAGUAGCGCAGAAAUGACACACUCCACCUUUAACUGAAGCUCCUGACCCAUAUCUGCAUGAUUUUAUACAUUACACUGCUGCCACACGAUUGGCUGAUUAGAUAAUUGCAUGAAUAGGUGUUCUUAAUAAAGUGCUCAGUGAGUGUAUUAGUAUAUUGAGAGAAAAUGCCUUAUUUUCUAAAAUGAACAAAGCCAAAUGCAAUUUAUGGAUUCAAAAGUAUUUAUCAGAUUAUUGUAGCAUUAAAAACAAGUUCAUCAAGGUACUAUAUGUAGGCCUACAGUGCCUAUAGAAAGUUUUGUACAUGGUCAAAUCCUUAUCUUUUGUCACAUUACAUCCUGGAAAUGUAAAUAAAUUCAAUCUAACCUUUUCCAGCUGUAUUUACACACUAUAACCUCAACAUCAAAGUGAAAAUAACAUGUAAAACAAAAUCUGAACAAUUAUAUAAAACUAAUUGGUAAAACACCUGGUUUAGAGAAGUGAUCAGCCCCUUAAGAGUAACAUGGUGCAACCAGUCACCUUUCAGAUCACUUACCUGGCUAAUUGGUCCCCACCUGACAUUGAGCCUGUUUACAAGCACACUAAUACACUGAUUACUCUCUAAAAUCAGCUUAUUUAAAAAACCUGACAAGGCAAGAAAUCCGCGUUUACAUGACAUUUGAAAUAAUCGCGUUAAUCUCUACUUUUCACGUCAAACCAGGAAGAGGCAUGCGCUAAACACGUGCGCACAUUGGAUGAGCCAGUAAGAAUAGCAGGUAAUUCGUUUGCAUGGCACGCGAAAACGGCAUAAUGGGCAAAAAUCUACGUGUGUCGAUCGGGUUAUUCAUAAGCCAUAUAUGGCCUUUACACCAAUAAAGGAACGUGGUUUAUUGCUUUUACUUGACCACACGCGUUGUCAGCUUAUUAGGCAAAAUCGGUGUAAGAACGUGCAUGAAAACACAUUCAAUAAUUGUAGUGGUUUAAUUACUUCAGAAUAAAAUCAGCUGUUCCAUGAGGAUUACAUUAAUAGUAGUGAAUGGGAAAGAAUUCAAGAAUGCACCAUGGUUGGAAAGGUGUUUUCAAAAGUGCUCUUGGAAAAAAUUGUGGAAAGGAACCGGUUGGGAGAACAGUACAGAAAUAUUUCAAAGACUUUAACUAUCCCUCUGAGUACCGUUCAGAACAUUAUUAAGAAGUGGAAAGCACACGACACCACCAAAACUUUACCUAGAUCGGACCGUCCCUCCAAACUUGAUGACUGUGCCAUGAGGAUAUUGAUCAGGGAAGCUAUCAAAGGCAACUUUGAAGGAUUUACAAGCCCUUAUGGCUGAGAUUUAUCAUUCUGUGCAUGUGACAACAAUCUCCCAAGCUUUACACAAAGCUGGCCUGUAUGGCAGGGUGGCAAGAAAGAAACCUGUUCUGAAAAAGUGGCACACUAAGUCGCACUAAAAUAGUUACAAUGUUGCAUUUUCUUCAUGGUUCGGUUGGCUACCGUUAUAUUUUAUAUAUUUAUAUUUCAAGGUUAUAUUUUAAAAUGAACUAAAACUGUAAAAUGUCAGUCAAAUUUAUUUUGAUCCAUCAUUAGUUGAAUCAGAAUAAUUAAAGGUGUUUGUGAUAUGCAGCUGAGUGUGAUAAAAAAAAGUUCUGAUCAGCUUGUUAUCUUGUCAGUUCUUCUCAGUGACAGAAUGAUUUUUUCAAACAAAACAGAUGUGUUUUUUCAGUGCUUGAAGCCAUUAACUCAGCAGGGAGACCCGACGGUCAAGUGAUUAACUCCCGCUGAGAGGUGCUAAUGAGUGCUCUGUCUCCCUCUGCCUGGCCGUGAUUAUCUUAAUGAAGCUAACACCUGAAAAUCAGCUAGUGUAGAGCCAGCUUAAGACAAUUAUUGUUUUAACGAAGAAGCUUCCACAAGACUGUUAGCAAAGGGUACACUCAUACAGCAAUGCCAUGCUCCCUUCAGAGUGCCCACACCAAGAGCUCUGUCCUUCAUAGUGAGUAGGGUAUAGGGACGAUCACUUUUGAUUGAAUUCGCACUUUGUGCCACUCUGUUUCUUCGUUUUUGUGAGUCACUCAAGACUCAAAUGAUUUGUUACAAAACGAGUCGUUCACCACCGAAACAAUGGAGGUUAAUGAGAACGAAACGAUUAAUUAAAUAAUACUGAUUCUUUUACGAACUAAACAGCACAAAUUGAAACCAGAGUAUUGUGUAAUGUUGAGAAAAUGCAAUUAUGCUGCCUUCUUGUUCGAUUAUUUUAUGUUUUGAUGCAUACAUUUAGCCAAUGUAUUAAAUCAAAUGUUUUGUUUACAAGAAAUGCAUGAAACUAUGAGUGAACUGCUGUUAUCUGUUAAGUAUGUUACACAUUUAAACUGAGUAUGUAUAACAUUUGCAUACUACUGUAUGUUUACCCAUUAUUGUUGUAUGUAUUAAAUAAGGUAAACAUAAUUUAUUAUAUACAGUUGAAGUCAGAAGUUUAGAUACACCUUAGCCAAGUACAUUUAAACUCAGUUUUUCACAAUUCAUGGCAUUUAAUUGUAGAAAACAUUCCCUGUCUUAGGUCAGUUAGGAUCACUACUUCAUUUUUAGAAUGUGAAAUGUCAGAAUAAUAGAAUAGAAUAAUAAUAUUUAUUUCAGCUUUUAUUACUUUCAUCACAGUCCCAGUGGGUCAGAUGUUUACAUACACUUUGUUAGUAUUUGGUAGCAUUGCCUUUAAAUUGUUUAACUUGGGUCAAAUGUUUUGGGUAGCCAUCCACAAGCUUCUCACAAUAAGUUUUGGCCCAUUCCUCCAGACAGAACUGGUGUAGCUGAGUCAGGUUUGUAGGCCUCUUUGCUCGCACACGCUUUUCAGUUCUGCCCACAAAUUUCCUAUCAGAUUGAGGUCAGGGCUUUGUGAUAGCCACUCCAAUAUCUUGACUUUGCUGUCCUUAAGCCAUUUUGUCACAAUUUUGGAGGUAUGCUUGGGGUCAUUGUCCAUUUGGAAGACCCAUUUGCGACCGAGCUUUAACUUCCUGGCUGAUGUCUUGAGAUUUUGCUUCAGUAUAUCCACAUAAUUUUCCUUCCUCAUGAUGCCAUCUAUUUUGUGAAGUGCACCAGUCCCUCCUGCAGCAAAACACCCCCACAACAUGAUGCUGCCACCCCCAUGCUUCACGGUUGGGAUGGUGUUCUUCGACUUGCAAGCCUCACCCUCUUUUUUUGUGUGUGUGUGGAUUUUCUCCCCAAUUUGGAAUGCCCAAUUCCCAAUGCACUCUAAAUCCUUGUGGUGGCGUAGUGACUCGCCUCAAUCCAGGUGGUGGGGGACGAAUCUCAGUUGCCUCCGCAUCUGAGACCGUCAAUCCGUGCAUCUUAUCACAUGGCUUGUUGAGCACAUUACCGCAGAGACAUAGUGCGUGUGGAGGCUUUAUGCUAUUCUCCGCGGCAUCCACACACAACUCGCCACGCGCACCACCGAGAGCGAGAACCACACAUUAUAGCGACCACGAAGAGGUUACCCCAUGUGACUCUACCCUCCCUAGCAACCGGGCCAAUUUGGUUGCUUAGGAGACCUGGCUGGAGUCACUCAGCACGCCCUGGAUUCAAACUCACGACUCCAGGGGUGGUAAUCAGCGUCAAUACUCGCUGAGGUACCCAGGCCCCCCAGCCCCAUCCUCUUUCCUCCAAACAUAAUGAUGGUCAUUAUGGCCAAACAGAUACAUUUUUGUUUCACUAGACCAGAGGACAUUUCUCCAAAAAGUAAGAUCUUUGUCCCCAUGUGCACUUGCAAACUGUUGUCUGGCUUUUUAUGGUGGUUUUGGAGCAGUGGCUUCUUCCUUGCUGAGCAGCCUUUCAGGUUAUGUCAAUAUAGGACUCGUUUUACUGUGGAUAUAGAUACUUGUAAACCUGUUUCCUCCAGCAUCUUCGCAAGGUCCUUUACUGUUGUUCUGAGAUUGAUUUGCACUUUUCGCAAAAAACGAUGUUCAUCUCUAGGAGACAGAAUGUGUCUCCUUCCUGAGCAGUAUGAUGGCUGCGUGGUCCCAUGGUGUUUAUACUUGCGUACUAUUGUUUGUACAGAUGAACGUGGUACCUUCAGAUGUUAGGAAAUUUCUCCCAAGGAUGAACCAGACUUGUGGAGGUCCACCAUUUUUUUCUGAGGUCUUGGCUGAUUUCUUUUGAUUUUCCCAUGAUGUCAAGCAAAGAGGCAUUGAGUUUGAAGGUAGGCCUUAAAAUACAUCCACAGGUAUGCCUCCAAUUCAGUACACCUCCUAUCAGAAGCUAAUUGCCUAAUUGUCUAAAGGAUUGAUAUUUUCUGGAAUCUUCCAAGCUGCUUAAAGGCACAGUUAACUUAAUAGAUGUAAACUUCUGACCCACCUGAAUUGUGAUAGUCAAUUAAAAGUUAAACAAUCUGUCUGUAAACAAUUCUUGGAAAAAUUACUCAUGUCAUGCACAAAGAAGAUGUUCUAAACGACUAUAGUUUGUCAACAUGAAAUCUGUGGAGUGGUUAAAAAAAUUAGUUUUAAUGGCUUCAACCUAAGUGUAUGUAAACAUCUGACUUCAACUAAGACCAGAGUGAACAUGUUUCUGUACAAAGGGCAUGUAUGAACAUGUUUUACAGACAAAAUGUCAGCCAGAGGAGAGAAGAACUAAGAGCAGAGAGAGAAAAUGGUCGGCAGAGUUGGAUUUAUGAUCCAGCUGCAAGAGAUGGCAGCACAGAGUUGAAUUCAAGGUCAAGAAGAUAAAUAUGAGACUGUUUGACUGUACAAGUAUUUUAUUUGACUUAAUACAUGUUUUUCCUCUAUUGUAAGUUACACCAACUUUAUAUAUAUGUAAUAUUAUAUGUUAUAUAUACAAGUAAAAAACAGAUAUAUUACCAUGGAUGGAGGGCAGGCAAGGUGUCAUGGACAGAAGCGGAGAAAAACUCAUCGUUGUCGACAGGCAAAGCGAAGACAAUUUAAAGAGACUUUUGGAGACGGACUUGAAGUUACAACUCACAUCACCAGCUGGGCAUUUACUGAUAAACAGGUCGUCUAUAAAAGACUGAUGCUAUGAUUAUCACAUCAGAUGCUGUUCGUUUGAACAGUAUCUCUGAUGCCAGAAGUCUUGCUGAUAAUGCCUUUGAUUGAAUAACUUUUUUGAUUUUUGUACUUUAUUUUUUUACUUUUUUUUUACCUAGAACAUUUUGAUUGCUAGAAAAUAAAUUGUAACUAAUAAAUUGA